AAUGAACGUUGGCGGCGUGGAUUAGGCAUGCAAGUCGAGCGAGAAUCGGUCUUCGGAUCGAGGACAGCGGCGAACGGGGUAGGAAUACCUCGGUGACGUACCCCCAGGUCGGGGAUAGCGGCGGGAAACUGCCGGUAAUACCCGAUGAUCUUCCCAAGUUUUACGACAGGGGAAGCAAAGGUGUGAUUCCGUCUGGGGAGCGGCUGAGGUCGUAUUAGCUGGUUGGUGAGGUAAUGGCUCACCAAGGCAAUGAUGCGUAGGGGGUGUGAGAGCAUGGCCCCCACCACUGGCACUGGGACACUGGCCAGACACCUACGGGUGGCUGCAGUCGAGAAUCUUCGGCAAUGGGCGCAAGCCUGACCGAGCGACGCCGCGUGCGGGAUGAAGGUCUUCGGAUUGUAAACCGCUGUCGGAGGGGAUGAAGUGCAGGGGGGUACUCCCCCCUGUUUGACAGAGCCUCGGAGGAAGCACGGGCUAAGUUCGUGCCAGCCGCCGCGGUAAUAC
rnacentral:rRNA from 1 species